rnacentral:rRNA from 1 species
GAUGAACGCUGGCGGCGUGCCUAAUACAUGCAAGUCGAGCGAACAGACGAGGAGCUUGCUCCUCUGACGUUAGCGGCGGACGGGUGAGUAACACGUGGAUAACCUACCUAUAAGACUGGGAUAACUUCGGGAAACCGGAGCUAAUACCGGAUAAUAUAUUGAACCGCAUGGUUCAAUAGUGAAAGACGGUUUUGCUGUCACUUAUAGAUGGCUCCGCGCCGCAUUAGCUAGUUGGUAAGGUAACGGCUUACCAAGGCAACGAUGCGUAGCCGACCUGAGAGGGUGAUUCGCCACACUGGAUCUGAGACACGGCCCAGACUCCUACGGGAGGCAGCAGUAGGGAAUCUUCCGCAAUGGGCGAAAGCCUGACGGAGCACCGCCGCGUGAGUGAUGAAGGUCUUCGGAUCGUAAAACUCUGUUAUUAGGGAAGAACAAAUGUGUAAGUAACUAUGCACGUCUUGACGGUACCUAAUCAGAAAGCCACGGCUAACUACGUG